GAGUUAAUAGCUUGGAAACAGAUCUUGUUCUUUUUGUGGGAAGAAUGACCAGAAGCAUAAAAGCUAAAUCUUCCAGCAAAAGCAACACACCUCUUUCAGUGUUUGCAAUAAACCGAACAGAGCAAAUUGCUGGCUGUAACGUACUGUGCCAUGGCACCUAAAAUGAAGGGGAUGGUAAUGACUGAAAGGCUGCCACCGAGAGCUUCUGUCUGCCUUUAACUCAUUGUGAUAACCUGUGUAAAAGUGGUCACAUAGGUCUCUGCCUGGUUAAAAGCACAGAGCUGCAUCCUUGAUUGAUCCAGUUUGUUUUUACCCCUGUGAGAAGAAGGUUAGGUACUGAAGUUUAGAAAUGCAGUCAACUGAUUUAAAAUGUUUGAAGUCACAGACCUCCCCAGCCCCUGAGAACCACCAUUCUGGUCUCUGUUGUUGAAAGAUUCUAUGUAUUUCAAUAAUAUGCUUCUGUUGUUUCACAUCUUCACUGAGGAUUGGUACUAACAAUAAUUUUCAUUCCAUCAAAAAUGGUUUCCAAUGACCAUGACCAUCAUGUAAACAAUAAGGCACAUGGCUUGACCGGCGACCUCCAUGCAGUCCCACAU